CCGUUGUAAAGUUCUUUUGCUGGGGAAGAAUAAGUGUGGGAGGGAAUGCCCGCACGAUGACAUGAACCGGUGAAUAAGCCCCGGCCAACUACGUGCCAGCAGCCGCGGUAACACGUAGGGGGCGAGCGUUGUUCGGAAUUACUGGGCGUAAAGGGCAUGUAGGCGGUCUGGUAAGCCUGGCGUGAAAGUCUGCAGCUUAACUGCAGGGGUGCGCUGGGAACUGCUGGGCUUGAGUGACGGAGAGGGAGCUGGAAUUCCUGGUGUAGGGGUGAAAUCUGUAGAUAUCAGGAAGAACACCGAUGGCGAAGGCAAGCUCCUGGCCGAUGACUGACGCUGAGGUGCGAAAGUGUGGGGAUCAAACAGGAUUAGAUACCCUGGUAGUCCACACGGUAAACGAUGUGCACUAGGUGCUGGGGCGGUAGCCUCAGUGCCGGAGCGAACGUGGUAAGUGCACCGCCUGGGGAGUAUGCUCGCAAGGGUGAAACUCAAAGGAAUUGACGG
rnacentral:rRNA from 1 species